rnacentral:rRNA from 1 species
UGGGGAAUAUUGCACAAUGGGCGCAAGCCUGAUGCAGCCAUGCCGCGUGUGUGAAGAAGGCCUUCGGGUUGUAAAGCACUUUCAGCGGGGAGGAAGGCGUUAAGGUUAAUAACCUUGGCGAUUGACGUUACCCGCAGAAGAAGCACCGGCUAACUCCGUGCCAGCAGCCGCGGUAAUACGGAGGGUGCAAGCGUUAAUCGGAAUUACUGGGCGUAAAGCGCACGCAGGCGGUCUGUCAAGUCGGAUGUGAAAUCCCCGGGCUCAACCUGGGAAGUGCAUUCGAAACUGGCAGGCUAGAGUCUUGUAGAGGGGGGUAGAAUUCCAAGUGUAGCGGUGAAAUGCGUAGAGAUCUGGAGGAAUACCGGUGGCGAAGGCGGCCCCCUGGACAAAGACUAACGCUCAGGUGCGAAAGCGUGGGGAGCAAACAGG